GAUACUGUGUUCAUGACGCUGUUGUACUGUGUAACACAAUUCACUUAUCCUGAUCUAGUACCAGCAACGUGAUUUGUCACACGUGAGGAUUCAUAUAAAAACAAAAGCACACGUCUUUUCACAAUAAAAAAAUCAAUCUGGAAAGAUGAAAAUGAAACCUGUUGUAGUUGUGUUAGUUGUGCUGGUGUUGGCUUUCUGUAUGGUUUGUGCCAGUCCUCUUCAGAACGAGCAACUGGAAAGUCAAGUGUUGGAUUCGAAUAAAGCGAAAACUGAUAACAGCAGAAGAGGUGGCAUAUUUUUCGCAAGAGGACCCCGGCGACGUACCUGGCGUCCUCCACGAAUCUCAUUGACAUGACGUACAUGUAUAGAUGAUUGGAUUCCGCAGUCAUAAACUUGGAAAUUUCAUAGCCAAAACAAAUAAAAAAAAAAAGGAAAAGUAUAUUUAGAAUGAUGCAGCUUUCCGGUGUUUAGAACGUCAAUUUAACAUUCAAUUUAUAUAUGUACUUUUAAAUGUUUGUAUCCUACUAGAGAAAAGAGACACAAACCAUUACUAUUAUCGAAAAUAUAAAUUGGUAGAAAUUCUACCAGGCGUAUUAUCUGAGGAUGUGCGAGAUAGUAAAUGAUAUUUUCUGUCUGAGUAUAUGUUGGAUCAUUUAUCCAGAAACUAAAUUAUAUACUUUCUAGUUAAUGUA